UACGAAGGGGGCUAGCGUUGCUCGGAAUCACUGGGCGUAAAGGGUGCGUAGGCGGGUCUUUUAAGUCAGGGGUGAAAUCCUGGAGCUCAACUCCAGAACUGCCUUCGAAACUGCCGGUCUUUGAGUUCGGGAGAGGUGAGUGGAACUGCGAGUGUAGAGGUGAAAUUCGUAGAUAUUCGCAAGAACACCAGUGGCGAAGGCGGCUCACUGGCCCGGUACUGACGCUGAGGUGCGAAAGCGUGGGGAGCAAACAGG
rnacentral:rRNA from 1 species